GAUGAACGCUGGCGGCGUGCUUAACACAUGCAAGUCGAACGAUGAAGCUGGAUCUUGCUCUGGUGGAUUAGUGGCGAACGGGUGAGUAACACGUGAGCAUCCUACCCCUGACUCUGGGAUACCAGCCGGAAACGGCUGCUAAUACCGGAUAUGCACCAUGAACGCAUGUUCUGUGGUGGGAAAGAUGCUUCGGUUGGGGCUGGGCUCGCGGCCUAUCAGCUUUUGGGUGAGGUAAUGGCACACCAAGGCGUCGUCGGGUAGCCGGCAUGGGAAGGUGACCGGCCACACGGGGCCUGAGAGACGGCGCAGACUCGAAUGUGGGGCAGAAGUGGGAAAUAUGGCACAGUGGGCGAGAGCGUGAUGCAGCAACGCCGCGGGAGGGAUGACGGCCUUCGGGGUGUAAACCUCUUUGAGCAGGGAAGAAGCGAGAGUGACGGUACCGGCAGAAAAAGCGCCGGCUAACUACGUG
rnacentral:rRNA from 1 species